UGCUGGAGGUAUCAGAAGUGCGAAUGCUGACAUAAGUAACGAUAAAGCGGGUGAAAAGCCCGCUCGCCGGAAGACCAAGGGUUCCUGUCCAACGUUAAUCGGGGCAGGGUGAGUCGACCCCUAAGGCGAGGCCGAAAGGCGUAGUCGAUGGGAAACRGGUUAAUAUUCCCGUACUUGGUGUUACUGCGAAGGGGGGACGGAGAAGGCUAUGUUGGCCGGGCGACGGUUGUCCCGGUUUAAGCGUGUAGGCUGGUUUUCCAGGCAAAUCCGGAAAAUCAAGGCUGAGGCGUGACGACGAGGCACUACGGUGCUGAAGCAACAAAUGCCCUGCUUCCAGGAAAAGCCUCUAAGCAUCAGGUAACAUCAAAUCGUACCCCAAACCGACACAGGUGGUCAGGUAGAGAAUACCAAGGCGCUUGAGAGAACUCGGGUGAAGGAACUAGGCAAAAUGGUGCCGUAACUUCGGGAGAAGGCACGCUGACACGUAGGUGAAGUGAUUUACUCACGGAGCUGAAGUCAGUCGAAGAUAC
rnacentral:rRNA from 1 species